GACGAACGCUGGCGGCGUGCUUAACACAUGCAAGUCGAACGGAAAGGCCCUGCUUUUGUGGGGUGCUCGAGUGGCGAACGGGUGAGUAACACGUGAGUAACCUGCCCUUGACUUUGGGAUAGCUUCAGGAAACUGGGGCUAAUACCGGAUAGGAGCUCCUGCUGCAUGGUGGGGGUUGGAAAGUUUCGGCGGUUGGGGAUGGACUCGCGGCUUAUCAGCUUGUUGGUGGGGUAGUGGCUUACCAAGGCUUUGACGGGUAGCCGGCCUGAGAGGGUGACCGGCCACAUUGGGACUGAGAUACGGCCCAGACUCCUACGGGAGGCAGCAGUGGGGAAUAUUGCACAAGGGGCGGAAGCCUGAUGCAGCAACGCCGCGUGCGGGAUGACGGCCUUCGGGUUGUAAACCGCUUUCGCCUGUGACGAAGCGUGAGUGACGGUAAUGGGUAAAGAAGCACCGGCUAACUACGU
rnacentral:rRNA from 1 species